GAAAUGCGAUAACUAUUGUGAAUUGCAGAAUUCAGUGAAUCAUCGAAUCUUUGAACGCACAUUGCGCUCCCUGGUAUUCCGGGGAGCAUGCCCGUUUCAGAAUCAUUUAAAUUCUCACCGACUUCUCGCGUCAGCUUGCGGAAGGUGGACGUUGGGUGUUUUUGCACUUGUGUGCAAUCACCUGAAAAUCAUUGUGUGUGCUCCAGCUUGUUUGGUUGGCUCUCAAAGUGCAACGGAAAUUUUCUAUUCACAAUGAGGUCGCCCGAACGGGUUGUUGGCAUGUACCCCAUGGCAUACGGUUGGAGUGUUGAGAUUCAGCAUUUCAACUGAAAAAUUGGUCUGAAAUCGGGCAGGAAAACCCGCUGAACUUAA
rnacentral:misc_RNA from 1 species